rnacentral:tRNA from 1 species
GCCCUGUUCGUCUAUUGGUUUGAGGAUGGCGGCCUUUCAAGCCGCAGAGGGCGGGUUCGAAUCCCCCACAGGGCA